rnacentral:rRNA from 1 species
GGAGGAAAGUAGGGGAUCGCAAGACCUUGCGCUUUUUGAGCGGCCGAUGCCUGAUUAGCUAGUUGGUAAGGUAAUGGCUUACCAAGGCAACGAUCAGUAGCUGGUCUGAGAGGACGACCAGCCACACUGGGACUGAGACACGGCCCAGACUCCUACGGGAGGCAGCAGUGGGGAAUUUUGGACAAUGGGCGAAAGCCUGAUCCAGCCAUGCCGCGUGAGUGAAGAAGGCCUUCGGGUUGUAAAGCUCUUUCGGUCGGUAAGAAAUAGUUGUGGCUAAUAUCCACAAUGAAUGACGGUACCGACAUAAGAAGCACCGGCUAACUACGUGCCAGCAGCCGCGGUAAUACGUAGGGUGCAAGCGUUAAUCGGAAUUAUUGGGCGUAAAGGGUGCGCAGGCGGUUGUAUAAGUCAGAUGUGAAAUCCCUGGGCUUAACCUAGGAAUUGCGUUUGAAACUACAAAGCUAG